AUCUAAAAAUACUCCUUAAAGCGUCGAAAGAAAUACUAGAUUUCUUACCAAAAAUUUGAUGUUUUUCCCUCGCCAUUCUACUUUCUUUCUCUUCUUCUCUCACUAGACUACUAUCUCUCUCUCUUUAAACAUUUGAAAAAUAGAAGAAUGGAAGUGUGGAGAGGAAGGGAAGGGGCAGGGCAAUUUAUAAAAUUUUGAAACCAUUGGAUUCGCACCAAGUGACAAAAUCCGAUGAAGAGAGAGGAUAAGAAGAUGCUUAGCACGAAAAAUGAGGAAAGAGGGCCUCCUU
rnacentral:lncRNA from 1 species